AUACAUAGGGGGCAAGCGUUAUCCGGAAUUAUUGGGCGUAAAGGGUGCGUAGGUGGCUAUUUAAGUCUUUGGUGUAAGUGCAGUGCUCAACACUGUGAUGCUAAAGAAACUGGAUGGCUUGAGUGUGGUAGAGGCAAGUGGAAUUCCAUGUGUAGCGGUAAAAUGCGUAAAUAUAUGGAGGAACACCAGUGGCGAAGGCGGCUUGCUGGGCCAUAACUGACACUGAGGCACGAAAGCGUGGGGAGCAAACAGGAUUAGAUACCCUGGUAGUCCACGCCGUAAACGAUGAGUACUAAGUGUAGGAGAAAUUCUGUGCUGUAGUUAACGCAAUAAGUACUCCGCCUGAGUAGUACGUACGCAAGUAUGAA
rnacentral:rRNA from 1 species